AGAGUUUGAUCAUGGCUCAGGAUGAACGCUAGCUACAGGCUUAACACAUGCAAGUCGAGGGGAAACGACAGUCGAAAGCUUGCUUUUGAUGGGCGUCGACCGGCGCACGGGUGAGUAACGCGUAUCCAACCUGCCCACCACUUGGGGAUAACCUUGCGAAAGUAAGACUAAUACCCAAUGAUAUCUCUAGAAGACAUCUGAAAGAGAUUAAAGAUUCAUCGGUGAUGGAUGGGGAUGCGUCUGAUUAGCUUGUUGGCGGGGUAACGGGCCCACCAAGGCAACGAUCAGUAGGGGUUCUGAGAGGAAGGUCCCCCACAUUGGAACUGAGACACGGUCCAAACUCCUACAGGAGGCAGCA
rnacentral:rRNA from 1 species